UGGGGAAUUUUGGACAAUGGGCGAAAGCCUGAUCCAGCAAUGCCGCGUGUGUGAAGAAGGCCUUCGGGUUGUAAAGCACUUUUGUCCGGAAAGAAAUGGCUCUGGUUAAUACCUGGGGUCGAUGACGGUACCGGAAGAAUAAGGACCGGCUAACUACGUGCCAGCAGCCGCGGUAAUACGUAGGGUCCAAGCGUUAAUCGGAAUUACUGGGCGUAAAGCGUGCGCAGGCGGUUGUGCAAGACCGAUGUGAAAUCCCCGAGCUUAACUUGGGAAUUGCAUUGGUGACUGCACGGCUAGAGUGUGUCAGAGGGGGGUAGAAUUCCACGUGUAGCAGUGAAAUGCGUAGAGAUGUGGAGGGAAUACCGAUGGGCGAAGGCAGCCCCCUGGGAAUAACACUGACGCUCAUGCACGAAAGCGUGGGGAGCAAACAGGAUUAGAUACCCUGGUAGUCCACGCCCUAAACGAUGUCAACUAGUUGUUGGGGAUUCAUUUCCUUAGUAACGUAG
rnacentral:rRNA from 1 species